CAACCAGUUUCAAUUUCCCAACGCCAACUUCAUUGCUGAUGGCACUGAAAUCAGGGCAAACGUGACGUAUGUAUACAAAGAGGAUGAUGUCAACCACCCUAGUGGUUUUCUACAGGAAGUCUUAAAAGUCUCAGGUCUCUUGACCACCACUGUUGCCCCAACAACAACUACCAACACCACACCACUUCCUACCCUUUUACUGACCACUCCUUUCAAUACCACAAGUGUUGGAGGUUUUCCUGGCUGGGCUUUGGCCAUUAUCAUUCCUUGUGGCAUCGCUAUCAUUCUGGUACCCCUGUGGAUCCUGCUA